GCCGAAGUGGCGGAAUGGUAUACGCGCUGGUCUCAAAAACCAGUGGGGUAAAACCCCGUGCCGGUUCGAGUCCGGCCUUCGGCACCA
rnacentral:tRNA from 2 species